CCGAGUUUACAACUCCCAAACCCCUGUGAACCAUACCCAUAUACGUUGCCUCGGCGGGACAGACGCCCCCGUACCGGGGCCGCCCCGCCAGAGGACCCCCUAACUCUGCUUUCGUAUAAUGUUUUCUUCUGAGUGUAGAUGCAAGCAAAAUAAAUUAA
rnacentral:misc_RNA from 1 species